rnacentral:rRNA from 1 species
UACGUAGGGUGCAAGCGUUGUCCGGAAUUAUUGGGCGUAAAGAGCUCGUAGGCGGUCUGUCGCGUCGGCUGUGAAAACUUGGGGCUCAACCCCAAGCCUGCAGUCGAUACGGGCAGACUAGAGUGCGGUAGGGGAGACUGGAAUUCCUGGUGUAGCGGUGAAAUGCGCAGAUAUCAGGAGGAACACCAGUGGCGAAGGCGGGUCUCUGGGCCGUAACUGACGCUGAGGAGCGAAAGCGUGGGGAGCGAACAGG